rnacentral:tmRNA from 1 species
GGGGAUGUUUGGUUUCGACAGGUCGUACGUUUAAAAUAUGCAAGCCGAGCAUGAUGAUUGCUCGCCAAACAUUCAUCAAAGUUAUAAGUGCAAACUUCAUAACAAAAGCAAAAUCAGUAUUUGCGCAAGCAUUUACUUCAAAUUUUGCGGUUGCUAUUGCCUAAAUAUCGCCCUAAGGCGUUAUCGCAGUAGUCAUCGAACCGUCAACUCCUAAUAGGCGGAUCUCGGUGCCAUAUCAUUAGGAUAGCUUUCCCGGUAUUUUCUAAGCCGGGCUUGCGAAAUUCCAUUAGCAAUAGAUCGGGAAGGUUUCGUCCACCUAUCACUUUCCGGUCGAAUCCAAUAGGCGGACUAAGCUUGUAGACUGUUUUAGAUGAAUGAUUUUGGACAUGGGUUCAAUUCCCAUCAUCUCCACGU